rnacentral:rRNA from 1 species
GACGAACGCUGGCGGCGUGCUUAACACAUGCAAGUUGAACGGGGAUAUUGUUUCGGACGAUAUCUUAGUAGCGGACGGGUGAGUAACGCGUGAGCAACCUACCUUUGUGAGGGGACAACGGCUGGAAACGGCUGCUAAUACCGCAUAAGGCCACGGCUCCGAGUGGAGCAGAGGUCAAAGAUUUAUCGCACAAAGAUGGGCUCGCGUCCCAUUAGCUAGUUGGUGAGGUAACGGCCCACCAAGGCAUCGAUGGGUAGCCGACCUGAGAGGGUGAUCGGCCACACUGGAACUGAGACACGGUCCAGACUCCUACGGGUGGCAG